rnacentral:rRNA from 1 species
CUAUCUUACGGGACGCAGCAGUGGGGAAUAUUGCACAAUGGGGGAAACCCUGAUGCAGCAACGCCGCGUGAGUGAGGAAGUAUUUCGGAAUGUAAAGCUCUAUCAGCAGGGAAUAGAAAAGAAGGUACUUGAAAAAGAAGCCCCGGCUAACUACGUGCCAGAAGCGGCGGUAAUACGUAGGGGGCAAGCGUUAUCCGGAUUUACUGGGGGUAAAGGGAGCGUAGACGGAAAGGCAAGUCAGA